AGAAUCAACGCUGGCGGCGUGCCUAACACAUGCAAGUCGAACGAGAAAGUGGAGCAAUCCAUGAGUAAAGUGGCGCACGGGUGAGUAACACGUGACUAACCUACCUUUUAGUGGGGGAUAACCUAGGGAAACCUUGGGCUAAUACCGCAUAAUACUUACGAGUCAAAGCAGCAAUGCGCUGAAAGAGGGGGUCGCGGCCGAUUAGCUAGUUGGCGGGGUAAUGGCCACAAGGCAGUGAUCGGUAUCCGGCCUGAGAGGGCGCAACGGUACACACGUGGAACUGAGACAGGCCCAGACUCCUACGGGAGGCAGC
rnacentral:rRNA from 1 species